CUAGAUCAAUGCAAUACCAAUAAUAAAAUCCUGCUAAAAAUUUUGAAGGAGUAUACAACGCACAAAUGUCGAUAAAUAGGCCAAAGUAAAAAAUUAAUAAUCAAAAAAGAAUUGCAAGAUGUGCUAUUUCAGAUGAUUCAGAUGAUGAUUCUCUGGAACUUUGUGCAAAAAUAAAAAAAAUGUUCUAUUCUCGUCAUCAUCUUUAUGUCGUUUAUGUCGAUUCAAUGGCGCUACUGAUUUAGUAACUCUACACAAUUAUUUUUGCCAUACACUUGUAUAAAAGUCGAGAUCCAGACCACAAACGAAUGAGAGAAGACAACAAGAAGUGCUACCCAAUCAGAAAAUAUGUUGGAGAAAAAUGCUGUCAUAUCGUGGAAGUAUUAACAAAGACAUAGAAGUAUAAAGAUGGGACAAGACCAGUGUUGCCGUUUGAAAUUUGUAUUUCAGCCCAAAUUUUUUCUAAAAACCGCCCAAAAUCGACCAUAUCCGCCCAAACUGUAAAAAGUUGAAUAAUUUAUAUGUAGUUUGUAUUCAAGUAAAUUUUAUUGAAAAUU